rnacentral:rRNA from 1 species
GACGAACGCUGGCGGCGUGCCUAAUACAUGCAAGUCGAGCGAAGCGGCGGAUGGGUGAGUAACGCGUGGGUCACCUGCCCUUAAGUCUGGGAUACCAUUUGGAAACAGAUGCUAAUACCGGAUACUAAAGGAUGGACCUGCGAUGCAUUAGCUAGUUGGUAAGGUAACGGCUCACCUAGGCGACGAUCCCUAGCUGGUCUGAGAGGAUGACCAGCCACACUGGAACUGAGACACGGUCCAGACUCCUACGGGAGGCAGCAGUGGGGAAUAUUGCACGAUGGGGGAAACCCUGAUGCAGCAACGCCGCGUGCGGGAUGACGGCCUUCGGUUUGUAAACCGCUUUCAGCCAUGACGCGGUAGUGGCAGAAGAAGCACCGGCUAACUACGUGCCAGCAGCCGCGGUAAUUC